UGGGGAAUAUUGCACAAUGGGCGCAAGCCUGAUGCAGCCAUGCCGCGUGUAUGAAGAAGGCCUUCGGGUUGUAAAGUACUUUCAGUCGGGAGGAAGGUGGUAAGGUUAAUAACCUUAUCAAUUGACGUUACCGACAGAAGAAGCACCGGCUAACUCCGUGCCAGCAGCCGCGGUAAUACGGAGGGUGCAAGCGUUAAUCGGAAUUACUGGGCGUAAAGCGCACGCAGGCGGUUGAUUGAGUCAGAUGUGAAAUCCCCGGGCUUAACCCGGGAAUUGCAUCUGAUAAUGGUCAGCUAGAGUCUUGUAGAGGGGGGUAGAAUUCCAUGUGUAGCGGUGAAAUGCGUAGAGAUGUGGAGGAAUACCGGUGGCGAAGGCGACCCCCUGGACAAAGACUGACGCUCAGGUGCGAAAGCGUGGGGAGCAAACAGG
rnacentral:rRNA from 1 species